CCUUAACAAGGAACAGGCCAAAUGAAGAUAGCUAUACUAUGUAUAACAACAAUCCAGUUUAUAAAAUGCCAAGCUCAGGAUUGUUUGUGGUUCUUGUGCUGUUAAGCAGCGCAGUAACAGGGUGCAGAGUGAACAGAGCAACUGGUGCACUGGAAUUGGAACUGCUGGUAGUGGUCGAUUACAUACAUUUAACAAGUGGUAUCAACUGACCUCCACCCAGUCCUCACAAGCUACCCGGGUCAGCCAGGCUACUCAAGCAGUGAAAGAGUAUAUCUCCACUUUAGUUCAAUCG